AGGCGGUUGAUUCGUCCCGCCUGGGGAGACCGGUGGAAAUACGGGUGAAAUAACCGGGCUGAAUGACAGGCUGGGUGGCGAAGC
rnacentral:sRNA from 12 species